rnacentral:rRNA from 1 species
AGUGAACGCUGGCGGUAGGCCUAACGCAUGCAAGUCGAACGGCAGCACAGUAAGAGCUUGCUCUUACGGGUGGCGAGUGGCGGACGGGUGAGGAAUACAUCGGAAUCUACUUUUUCGUGGGGGAUAACGUAGGGAAACUUACGCUAAUACCGCAUACGACCUACGGGUGAAAGCAGGGGAUCUUCGGACCUUGCGCGAUUGAAUGAGCCGAUGUCGGAUUAGCUAGUUGGCGGGGUAAAGGCCCACCAAGGCGACGAUCCGUAGCUGGUCUGAGAGGAUGAUCAGCCACACUGGAACUGAGACACGGUCCAGACUCCUACGGGAGGCAGCAGUGGGGAAUAUUGGACAAAGGGCGCAAGCCUGAUCCAGCCAUACCGCGUGGGUGAAGAAGGCCUUCGGGUUGUAAAGCCCUUUUGUUGGGAAAGAAAAGCAGCAGGUUAAUACCCCGCUGUUCUGACGGUACCCAAAGAAUAAGCACCGGCUAACUUCGUG